UACGAUCAGUGAAAGUUAUCAUCUUGCGAGUAAGGUUAUGAAAUUAGAAAUAUAAUUUUUUAUAAAAUUAUCUUUCUGAAAGCAUACCAACUUGUUUGGAAUAUCUCAUAACAUUGUGUUCCGUUACAAAUCUUUUUAUAUUUGUCAUACAUUUACAAUAUAAUGUAUUCAAUACAAAACUAAAAUUACUAUUAAUAAGAUAAACUAGUGCCAUUUUUGGAUUCUAUACUAGCGCCAAAUCGUCGUCAAACACGUGGUGAUUAUCCCAGUGAUCAAGAAUAGGAUAGAUGUGAUAUUAAAUGGGACUUCGUGUCUCAGUUCCUGAAAUACCAACUUGGACAAAAAUUAGUGUUUCUUACGUCUUCUGCGAUUUGUUACGAAUGAUCUCACUUCCUGCAAUUCUUAC
rnacentral:misc_RNA from 1 species